rnacentral:rRNA from 1 species
AGUGAACGCUGGCGGUAGGCCUAACACAUGCAAGUCGAACGGCAGCACAGUAAGAGCUUGCUCUUACGGGUGGCGAGUGGCGGACGGGUGAGGAAUACAUCGGAAUCUACUUUUUCGUGGGGGAUAACGUAGGGAAACUUACGCUAAUACCGCAUACGACCUACGGGUGAAAGCAGGGGAUCUUCGGACCUUUCGCGAUUGAAUGAGCCGAUGUCGUAUUAGCUAGUUGGCGGGGUAAAGGCCCACCAAGGCGACGAUCCGUAGCUUGUCUGAGAGGAUGAUCAGCCACACUGGAAGUGAGACACGGUCCAGACUACUACGGGAGGAAGCAGUGGGGAAUAUUGGACAAUGGGCGCAAGCCUGAUCCAGCCAUACCGCGUGGGUGAAGAAGGCCUUCGGGUUGUAAAGCCCUUUUGUUGGGAAAGAAAAGCAGCAGGUUAAUACCCCGCUGUUCUGACGGUAACCAAAGAAUAAGCACCGGCUAACUACGUG